rnacentral:rRNA from 1 species
AACGAACGCUGGCGGCAUGCCUAACACAUGCAAGUCGAACGAGACCUUCGGGUCUAGUGGCGCACGGGUGCGUAACGCGUGGGAACCUGCCCUUAGGUUCGGCAUAACUCCCCGACAGGGGUGCUAAUACCGGAUAAUGUCUUCGGCCCAAAGAUUUAUCGCCUUUGGAUGGGCCCGCGUUGGAUUAGCUAGUUGGUAGGGUAAAAGCCUACCAAGGCGACGAUCCAUAGCUGGUCUGAGAGGAUGAGCAGCCACACUGGGACUGAGACACGGCCCAGACUCCUACGGGAGGCAGCAGUGGGGAAUAUUGGACAAUGGGCGAAAGCCUGAUCCAGCAAUGCCGCGUGAGUGAUGAAGGCCUUAGGGUUGUAAAGCUCUUUUACCCGGGAUGAUAAUGACAGUACCGGGAGAAUAAGCUCCGGCUAACUCCGUG